AUUAGGGUGGCAGAGCCCGGCUCAUUGCAAAAGAUCUAAGUCCUUUGGACAGAGGUUCAAAUCCUCUCCUUAAUA
rnacentral:tRNA from 1 species